UGAGGUUUGUCUUCCUAUAAUAGGUGGUUUUACUGGGUUCUGCAUCAGAUCCUCGCAUACAAGGUGACUUCACAAAUUUAGCCAAUAAGUUGUAUAGCCGAGUGAAGCUAUGUUUGACCUAUGCUACGACGAGCCACCAUCACAUUUGCAACAUGCUAAAGAGCAAAAUGACACCAAACUAAUGGAAAAUGUAAUCCAUGUUCUAUCAAGAUAUUUCUUACCGCUGCAACCAGGCACAACUGACAUAGUCUUCAGUCGAUGCCAUGCAGACGGACAUGGAGGUUGUGUUCGAGGUGCUGAAGAGCCUAGAGGACGUUGAGGAGCUAGACCCCGAGUGGCUGCAUGAUCCUCACAAGCUGCACACGUGCGUGGAGAAGGACACCUCCUUGUCGGACUCGUGCGGCGUCGGCCCAUUCGGGCUGGUGGUGAUGGCGCCCGAAGGCAUGCAAAGCAGGAGCAGAUCACCGUAUUCUUCAGGGAGUGACCAGCAUCUCAGCUUCUCGAUCUAUGCUUCUUUGUGAUUUCUCUUCUAAUUUGUCUACCUCCUUUUUCUGCCCGCAGAUUGGAGCAAGAGCAAGGUGGUUAGAUCUAGAUCGAAAGUCAGUGAGACGAAAACCGUUUUUACCUCACUGGUCAAGCAACACUAUUCACUCUUUGAUGCAACAUGGGAAGCUUUAUUUCCUGAAGCACUAGCUGGGAAGUCAGUGAGACGAAAGCUCAUGAGGGCAGGUCCAAGGGCACUGAUCUUCCCAGCACCUGCAAACGCUACCUCAGCAACCAUGCGCCUCUUGAAGAUCACCUGGGCAGAGCUGGCACUGUUUGCAACAUCUGCCUUCACUUCAUUGACAUGACCGUAUUGGCUAAAGAUCUUGAUAAGGUCACACUUUGUAGGAUAAAUGCAUGGUCUGCUGAAGUGCAGCACCAGAUUUUCUCUCUGCUGAAGACCACAUGCUGCUACAGAGAGCUGCCAUAGCAUUUCUCCACAGAUGCAAGCCCAACCAUUCUGUUCUUCCAAGAAAAUACUGGUAGUAUCCUUUUUCCCCCUAUGUACAUAUAAACCAUACUUCAUAUGAUGGGUCAAAUUUUAUGAGACUCAUUCUAUUAAAUCCUUUACUGCUAGACAUCGCUCACGAUGAUGCAGCAACUACAGUGCAAUGUUUUUAUGCUUUCCUAUAGAGGGCAUGCUAUUUCUUACUUCUAUUAUAUUUAUGCCGUUCAAACUUGUAGCUCUCAAUAUUUUGUGGGUUUAAAUGUUCUUGUUUUCUUUAUUUGCGACACAUCUAAAUCUGAUUUUCUUUGUAGGUAUGGUGAGAGUGAUGGUUAUCCUUCUCAGAAAGGGAGAGAUCAAGAAAGAUGAGAUAUAAAUUCAUAUGCUACCAGAACAAGAAAUAUGAGAGCGGUUGGUGGCCGAGGCUCCUAAAAAAGGACCUGUGUUCUUGAAGGUUGACUGGACAAAUGGUAUGACGAGGAUGUCGAAGAUGUUGGAUGUUAGAAUUUCACUUUUGGUUGAUUAUGUUUUUUCUUAUGCACCUGACAAAUCUAGAUAUGCAACCAGACAUGCUUUAUUCUUGUUCCUGUUUUGUUUUCCUUAUGUAUUAAUUCCUUAACUUGUAAUGCACAUGAUGUUUUCCUUAUGUAUUAAUUCCUUAA